rnacentral:rRNA from 1 species
AACGAACGCUGGCGGCAGGCCUAACACAUGCAAGUCGAGCGAAGCCUUCGGGCUUAGCGGCGGACGGGUGAGUAACGCGUGGGAACGUGCCCUUUGGUACGGAAUAGCCCCGGGAAACUGGGAGUAAUACCGUAUGUGGUCGAGAGACGAGAGAUUUAUCGCCAAAGGAUCGGCCCGCGUUGGAUUAGGUAGUUGGUGGGGUAAUGGCCUACCAAGCCGACGAUCCAUAGCUGGUUUGAGAGGAUGAUCAGCCACACUGGGAACUGAGACACGGCCCAGACUCCUACGGGAGGCAGCAGUGGGGAAUCUUAGACAAUGGUGGAAACCCUGAUCUAGCCAUGCCGCGUGAUCGAUGAAGGCCUUAGGGUUGUAAAGAUCUUUCAGUGGGGAAGAUAAUGACUGUACCCACAGAAGAAGCCCCGGCUAACUCCGUGCCAGCCGCCGCCGUAAGAC